rnacentral:snoRNA from 1 species
UAAUGUGCAAUCUGUGAUGCAAAUAAUCCCAUUUGCUGAAUCACUGUGAUUAUUGCAAUCAAAAUCACCAUCUUUCGGCUGAGAUUGCACAUUG